rnacentral:rRNA from 1 species
UACGAAUGGAGCUAGCGUUGUUCGGAAUCACUGGGCGUAAAGCGCACGUAGGCGGAUGUGUCAGUCAGGGGUGAAAUCCCGGAGCUCAACUUCGGAACUGCCUUUGAUACAGCACGUCUUGAGUCCGAGAGAGGUGGGUGGAAUUCCUAGUGUAGAGGUGAAAUUCGUAGAUAUUCGCAAGAACACCAGUGGCGAAGGCGGCUCACUGGCCCGGUACUGACGCUGAGGUGCGAAAGCGUGGGGAGCAAACAGG